rnacentral:lncRNA from 1 species
CUAGAAUGAGAAUGCACAGCAAGCGGCAGACAAUCACCCGGCAUUCGGCAUCUCUUUCUUUUCACGCGCUCCCUCGCUCCGCCUUUCUCCAGCUCUGCCUUCUCAGGCAGAUACAUCAGAUACCUUGUUUAUCCAUCUUCAGCUCCACUCUGAGGGCGCAGACGCACGAUUCCGGGAUCGGGUGCACCACGGCGAAGCCCAGGCGGGAGACGGCAGGAGCAGCUCAGAUGAAGAAACUGAAACCCACAGAGAUGAAGUAACAUCCUCAAGAUCAAAAGGUAACAAACGAUUGAGGCAGGAUUUGGAUAUUGCUCUACAUGACGGGAAAGCCUGUGCUCUUGGAAUUACAGUCAUAGUACAACAGAUCAAGUUCAAAGCAUCAUCUAAGUCAAGGAAAACCAGUAAAGAGGUUUGGAGAGACAAACAGGGUCAACUCCAGGCAUUUGGGUCAGCAGAAACGGCACGAUUGAGCAGCACUGUGACUAUAGGAUCAUGGAUCAGAGGCUGCUUCCUCUUUGGUUCUGGGCAUCAGCCUCAUGUCCACUCAAAGUAAGUGGCCCCUCUGAUUGGAAUCGGAGGUGCCUGGGUCAUCUCACAGAGCCAAACAAAUACAAUUAGCUAUUGCAAAGCCUUUUGGGAAUUAUUCCCAGUGUAAAUAAACACAUAACCAUAUAGCAAGAGCCUUGAUAAAGUCCAAAAACAUGCAAACUUGGAGUAUCUAAGAGAAAAGACCACAAUGUAAAUGAAAAACCAAAUAAACUCGGGCAAACCAUAGGAUAGGGCCCUGUCUGUGAUGGCCUGCAUAUGAUGAGCCAUAGAAAAAGGAUGGUGAAUUCUGGAUAAUAAGAAAUGUCAAUGAGAUGCAAGAACCACCUGUUUUAUGUAAAGCUCCAAAUAACCAGAUCACAGUGGACAGCCACUCAAAUAAUGCCUUCAUAAUACAGAGUAUUAUUGAGAAUAACUCAGUUCACAGAGAGCUUAAGGCAGCCAAUAUUUGAUAGCCUGUCAGAAAAAAACAGAACAGUAAUUAUAGAAAAGAAUCAUAUCCUCGGAAAAACAAAAAUUAAUCAAACUAAGUUUGUAAAGUCUAUCUUACAGACACAUUGUCUGGACUGGUCCUCUCAAAAAUACUGUUUUUUUUUAAUGCCAAUUUGUUUAGUUAAUGAUUUUUGUCUUAUUACUUCAAAACUGGAAAUAUCCUAUGACUCAUAAUAUCUUACAACCUUUCUACUUUCUUAAAGAAUCUCAAGUUUAUAAUCACAGGGGAUCGGAUUAUUUUUCAAAAAUUAAAUGGUGAUGUAAUGAUUUCUGUGUCUAUUGUAGAAAAGUCAACCUUAUUACAGCUGCAACAAUGGCAUUAAGAAAUAUGAGUAAUUCCAAUCAACUUGAGAUAAUGUCUAAUCAAACACAAAUACAACUGGUAAAUUUCAUUAAAUAGCAUGGAGAUUAAAUUAAAACACUAUUAUGUAAUAAAAACCUUUAGUGGUACUAAAAUUUUAGAAUAGUUCAGAUAUACAGAAAAAUUUCAAAGAUACACAGAGUUCCCAUUUUUUUCCUAUUACUAACCUCUCAUAUUUGUCACAACUAAUGAAUAUUCAAUAGAGUAUUAUUAACUAAAGCCUAUACAUUUAUUUAGAUUUCCUUAGUUUUUAGCUAACAUUCUUUUUCUUUGUUCCAGGAUCCCAUCCGGGCCACCACAUUGAAUUUAUUUGUCAUUUUAGGUACCUCUUGGCUGUGAGUUUCUUAGACUUUCCUUGUUUUUGGUGACCCUGACAGUUUGAGGGAGUACUAGUCAGUCAGUUAUUUUUGCAGAAUGCCCUAAAUUUGAGUUUGGCUGAUGUUUUUCUUAGGGUUUGACUGGGGUUAUGGGUUUUGGGGAGGAAGACCACAGAGGUGAAGUACCAUUCUCACCAAAUUAUAUUAAAGGUACAUACCAUCAGCAUGCCUUAUACUAUUGAUGUGAACUUUGAUUGCCUGGCUGUGGUAGUGUUUGUCAUGUUUCUUCACUGUAAAGUUACUCUUCUCAUCACCCACUUUUCUGUACUGUACUCUUUGGAAGAAAGUCACUAUAUGCAUCCCAAAUUUAAGGAGUGGGAAGUUAUGCUCCACCCAUUUGUAAGCAGAAAAUCUACAUAAUUUGUUUGGCAUUCUUCUGCAUAGGAAAAUCAUCUCACUCUCCCAGUUAUUUAUUUAUUUGAUCUUUUUUUAUAUCAGUAUGGACUCAUGGGUAUUUCUUUUAUACUUUGGGUUAUAAUCCAAUACUAACACAAUAAAGAAAUUUUUAAUGGAGAUGCAAAAAAAAAAAAAA